CGGGUAACAGAGUGAGGCGGACCCCCGCCGAGGGUGAGCGAAGCNCAAAAAAGACCGUCCCAGUUCGGAUUGUAGUCUGCAACCCGACUACAUGAAGCUGGAAUCGCUAGUAAUCGCAGGUCAGCAUACUGCGGUGAAUACGUUCCCGGGUCUUGUACACACCGCCCGUCACACCAUGGGAGCCGGAAAUGCCCGAAGCCAGUGACCCAACCUUAGGGAGGGAGCUGUCGAAGGUGGAGCCGGUAACUGGGGUGAAGUCGUAACAAGGUAAC
rnacentral:rRNA from 1 species